ACAUUGGACAGUCAGCUGGGCGUUAACUUCCUGUUAUUUAUAACCUCUGAAGGCAAAAGAAAAAAAUCAGUCUGCUUACUCAGUGGAGCAACAAGCAAUGGAUCCCAAAGGCCAGAGAGUGAAGCUUAAUGAUGGCCACUUCAUUCCUGUCCUGGGAUUUGGAACCUUUGCACCUCCAGAGGUUCCUAAGAGUGAAGCUCUAGAGGUCACCAAAUUUGCUAUAGAGGCUGGGUUCCGCCAUAUUGACAGUGCUCAUUUGUACCAAAAUGAAGAGCAGGUUGGCCAGGCCAUUCGAAGCAAGAUUGCCGAUGGCACUGUGAAGAGAGAAGACAUAUUCUACACUUCAAAGCUUUGGUCCACUUCCCUUCGUCCAGAAUUGGUCCGACCAGCCUUGGAAAAGUCACUGAAUAAUCUUCAACUGGACUAUGUCGAUCUCUAUAUUAUUCAUUUUCCAGUGGCUCUGAAGCCAGGGGAGGCACUUUUCCCAACAGAUGAAAAUGGAAAACCAAUAUUUGACUCAGUGGAUCUCUGUCGCACAUGGGAGGCCCUGGAGAAGUGUAAGGACGCAGGGCUGACCAAGUCCAUCGGGGUGUCCAACUUCAACCACAAGCAACUGGAGAAGAUCCUGAACAAGCCGGGGCUCAAGUACAAGCCCGUCUGCAACCAGGUGGAAUGUCACCCUUAUUUCAAUCAGAGCAAACUGUUGGAUUUCUGCAAGUCACAUGAUAUUGUUCUUGUUGCCUAUGGUGCUCUGGGAUCCCAACGACUAAAAGAAUGGGUGAACCCAAACCUCCCCUUUCUCUUGGAGGACCCAGUUCUCUCUGCCAUUGCCAAAAAGCACAGGCAAACCCCAGCUCUGGUUGCCCUUCGCUACCAGAUACAACGUGGGGUUGUGGUUCUGGCCAAGAGUUACAACAAGAAGCGGAUCAAAGAGAACAUACAGGUGUUUGACUUUAAACUGACUCCAGAAGACAUGAAAGCAAUCGAUGGCCUCAACAGCAAUAUGAGAUAUAAUGAGUUACUACUGUCAACAGCAUGGUUCUUUUGAUAUGGAAGUGCUCAGAAUACACUCUUUAAUGAAUUGAAUUGAAAAGGACAAAUUUAGAAAGAAAAAUGAGAAUAUAAGAAGCAGAAAACAAUGGGGUGUUGGUCACCCUGAGUAUCCAUUUGUUGAAGAAUAUUGACUGUGAGCUGUACACGCGCAUUCUACCAGAACGUCUUGCUUCUAGGGCUGUGAAGAGGAUUUCUGUACUUGGUAGAGGUGCUUAAAAAAACUGUCUUCCAUUUCAAAAACUUGCCUUUCCUUUAUUAAAAAACAUUUUAUGAAACAGUGAA